rnacentral:lncRNA from 1 species
AGAGAGAAAGGCGAUGUCAGAGAGGUGUAUGACAUUCUUUGACACUGGGUUCCAGAGUAUCCUGGAAACAGGAGACUGUUUCCAGCACCCAAAUGUGUCAAGAAGUUGUGAGAAGAGUUCCAGACAAGGUGAAAGGCUGUGUUCAAGGAGAUUUGGCUGGCUGAUUGAUGAAGAAUAUCAUCAAAGGAUCAAUAUUUUUGUAGAUAUUGUGAAAUUAAUAAGAAAAACAAGAAAGAAAGGACAUGAGCCAGAUGGAAGGAGGCAUGUGUAG